rnacentral:lncRNA from 1 species
AGUCCCUGCAGCAGAGAGGCAGCCCAAGGCUCUGCAAAUCACUGCCACUUCAUCACGGCUGCAGCCACCCUUGUGCAGGCCCCAGCUCGAGGUCUUCUCACUCGAUGCUGGUAUGGGGGUGAUGAUCAUCCAUCUGGCAGGUCACAAGGACAACCCUCGGGAUGGGAAAUCUGAUCCUAAUUGCUGAGUCACAGCUAAAGGGCAGAAUGACGUCGUCUGUAACCAUGGCAUGCAUUCCAAACUCAGCCCCAGCUUGGCUUCUCCUCAAGUUUGAGUGAGCCCCUGUCAGUCUACACCACCCCUCCUCAUGUUCGGCUGUUUUCAAGCCGGCACACUGGCAAAGAUGCUGCCAGGAAAGAAGGAAGCCAAGCCCAGGGAGAGGAGAGAGCUGGUUUGCUGUGGGUGGCCAGGAACAAGGUCCCGUGUGUGGAGGAGACAGAACACAGUCAUGAUAUCAGGCCGGGAGCAGUGGCUGACUCCUGUAAUCUCAGAAUUUGGGGAGGCUGAGGUGGGAGGACGGCUCGAGCCCAGGAGUUCAAGACCAGCCUGGGAAACAUAAGGAAACCCAUCUCUAUUUAAAAAAAAAAAUCAGCCAAGCAUGGUGGUGCAUACCUGUAGUAUCUGCCACAUGGGAGGCUGGGGCAGGAGGGUUGCUUGAGCCCAGGAGGUCGAGGCUCCUGUGAGCCGUGAUUAUGCCAUUGCACUCCAGCCUGGGCGACAGAGGGAGACCCUGUCUCCAAGAAAGAAAGAAAAAGAGAGGGGAGGGGAAGAGGGGAAGGGUAAAGGCCACAUACUGGCAUGUACAGCCUCCCCUGCCUGACCCCCAUUCCCAGGAGCCCCUUUCAGAGAGUAAAGAGAGCUGGAACAAGGGAGCAAUGCUGACGGAAGGACAGACAGACAGAUGGACAGACUGCACUGGGGGCAGAAGGGCCCGCAGGCUCCAGACGAGCACGAUCAGCAGGAGAAAGCAGGCCAUGCGCAGGUGAUGUGGGUGCCAGAAGCAACCCAGCAGAUAGAGGAAUUCCAAUAACCGCACAGCACUCAAGUAAAAUAAAAACACCGUGACUUCGCAGCAAGCCAGUAUGGCCCCCUAGAGGCCAAGGGCAGAAUUUUAUUUUUAUCUAUCUAUCUCUCUGUCUAUCUCUCUAUCUGUCUGUCUAUCUAUCUAUUUUCGAGACAGAAUCUCCCUUUGUCGCCCAGGAUGGAGUGCAGUGAUGUGAUCUCGGCUCACUGCAACCUCCGCCUCCAGGCUUCAAGUGAUUCCC